GGAGAGAUGGCUGAGUGGUCGAAAGCGGUCGCCUGCUAAGCGAUUGUAGGUUUUAUACCCUACCCCGGGUUCGAAUCCCGGUCUCUCCGCCA
rnacentral:tRNA from 1 species